UUGUAUUAUUUGUCUCUUUUCCAUGAGACUAGAAAAUGCAUGCUGAUUAACUCAUACUUUGUUUUAUUAAUGGAGGUUUUAGUUCCAUCUGGUCUACUUUCCAUCCUGUGAAAAUGUGUGACGACAAAACAUUGUCGUAUUUUCAUGAAUGCAAGUUGGAAGACAAGUGUUGAAAACAUUGGCAAAGACAGAUAAACUUUGUACAGAAUUGCCGAGAUCUAGCAUAAAACUCUUUUUCACCAUCUCAGUUGUCUACAAAAUUAACAAUUUUCCCUGUUUUUCCCUCUUCUGCCCUGAUGUGUAGGCUCAAAUGCGUAAAGCCCAACCAUCAGGGCAACAUACACCUCUUCUCAAAGAGAGGCCUGGUGCUGAGACUCAUUCCGGAGCCUUCUCCACAAGGUCAACACCAUCAUCAUCAUCAGAGGAGUCUGUGUCAUCCGCCCAAAGUGGAGAUGACCACAAACCAGCAUUCAGUGAAGGGAGGGGGUCCCGGUCGUCCAACAGCAGUGGAUCAGAAAAGGACCACAUUGAUUUGCAUGAAGCUAAGGCCCUCAAGGCAAAAUGUAAAUCAAAACAAAAAGGUAUGAAAUCGAAAGGAACAGAGAAGUUAAAUGAUGGCCAAAAAAGGAACUACCACCAAUCUUCGUGGAUGUGACACGUGCCUCAGAAAAUACGCACAAGAGAGCAAGGCCAAAAACCCAGAACUGUUGAGGUCAACAAAAUUAAGGAAGCAUGUUGCUACCUUAUGUCAGCUUCUCGACCUGAACAAUCAGGAACUCGAGCAAGUUGCUCGUUUUAUGGGACACAACAUUAGAGUCCAUUGUGAGUUUUAUCGGCAGACCGAUAAAACUUUCCAAGUGGCCAAGAUUGCCAAACUACUGUUUGCGAUGGAACGUGGGACAGAGUCGCUGAAGGGAAAGAGUCUGCAAACCCUGGACUCUGUUAUCACUGGAAGAGCACAUGCAGCCACCUCAACCAAAGGUCUGAAAAGUGGCAAAAAGAGAAGACCAGAUCCAGGGAGACGACAGGAAGCUCAAGAUGAAUGAGAAGUGCCACAUUCAGCUGUAGCAACGAGAUCUGAUGAUGAAGAUGAUGGAGGCGGUAACAGUACCAACUUGGACACUGAAAACACAGGCACCUACAAAAGGCCACCGAAGAUGCAGUCAAUUAAAGAAAGAAAUUAUGCUGAUGACGCUGAUGACGACAUGAGUGAUGUUUCUGGCAGUGAAUAUGGCGAUGGAGGGGUGUGCCAUAAGACAGUUAAGAAGACUGUCAAGAAAAAAAAGACAAUGUUGGGAAGACAUGGAUUGGUCUAUGACGCAUCUUUCACACAUGGCCAAGAACAACCAUCAACAUCAGGGAGCGCCACCAAACGAAAGAGGAUUGCAACACUUACACAUGACGACGAUGAUGUUGAAGACAGCGAUGAAGAGGACAAAAAGACUGGACACAGAUCUCUUGGGAAGAAGAAGACAGCAGUUCGAAAAGAACAUAGUGAAGUUGAAUUGGAAACUAAAAAAAGGAAGAGACCCGGACUCCAAAGGAAAGAGCAGCAAUUGAUCGACACCUUUCAAAAUUUGUAGCAUUAAAGAAAGUUCCAAGGAAAGAUGACUGCGUUAAGUGUCGUAGUCAAGCAUCGCCAGACCUUGAAGACCGCACAUGGAGAGAUAUUCCACAAUGAAAUUAUUAAAAGAUAUGUAAUUGGGAAAAAAGCUUGAAGAUGAAAGAUAGAGAGAGGGAGAGACAUAGGGGGGAGAUAGAUGAAGGGAGAGAGGGAAUGGGAUGAGAGAGGGGAGAAAAGGAAUAGAGUUUGAAAGCACAGUUAUUUGGUAGGGUAUAUGUGGGUUCAUGUGUCAGGUUGUGGCGCAGCAAGUUUUUUUAGUGUGCGUUUUGAAGGUUGAAGUUUUUCAGGUGUUCGUGUAAGUUUUGAAUAAGAGUACUUUUGUUUGUCAAAAAUAAAUCAUAAAGUCAAGUCAGCUUUUAUUGUCAAAUAUGCUCUCUGUGUAAUGUACAGCACAGAUUAAAAUACUUUCCUCUCUCAGCCACAGUGCAAACGUGGCGUAUUGAACACACAAAUAUCAGAACUAAAUAAAACUAAAUAAAUGACAGUACCCUGUUAAUGGUGAUAAACUGUUUAAAAAUAAUAUACCUGAUUAUAAAUUUACAUCAUUAAAUGUUUAGUAAGGUGAAUGGCACCUAAUCUACUUCAAAAUCAUUAAGAACGCAUGGCCAGUGCCCGGUCCUCACUUAUCUAGUUAAAAACUUUUUCUUAACCUUUGGUGUUUUAUUUAAUCUAAAGGAAUGUAUUGCCUAAGGGCGCCCUCCUGUGUCUAGAAAUGUGUCUUUUUCAUUUCUUUUUCAAGCAGAAAGGGUGGUCCUCGCUUUGUAGGCCUUUUUACUCGGUCCUCACUGUGCAGCAAGUGCAGGAAUGUGUGUGUGUGUGUGUGUGUGUGUGUGUGUGUGUG